CAGCAGCCGCGGGAAUACCGAGGGUGCGAGCGUUAAUCGGAUUUACUGGGCGUAAAGCGUGCGUAGGCGGCUUCUUAAGUCGGAUGUGAAAUCCCUGAGCUUAACUUAGGAAUUGCAUUCGAUACUGGGAAGCUAGAGUAUGGGAGAGGAUGGUAGAAUUCCAGGUGUAGCGGUGAAAUGCGUAGAGAUCUGGAGGAAUACCGAUGGCGAAGGCAGCCAUCUGGCCUAAUACUGACGCUGAGGUACGAAAGCAUGGGGAGCAAACAGGAUUAGAUACCCGUGUAGUCCCUGUCUCUUAUAC
rnacentral:rRNA from 1 species